CUCUCUGUGUCUCUCUCUCUCUCUCUCUCUCUCUCUCUCUCUCUCUGUGUCUCUCUGUCUCUCUCUCUCUCUC